CCAUCAGGUAAAGUAAUCCUUACCUGUCCCUCCUUUGGGAGGGCAGAUUGGAAUGUGAUAAAUGGAGUUCACAUGAUUUGUGCUUAACAGCUCUGUGUAAUCAGGACUUGCAACACCCUGAUUUUUCCUAAAAAAA